GGAGUAUGAGAUAUGAACUCUGCUUUCUGCUUGAGGCAACCACGUCUGAGAGACUCAACCGCCCUCCUGUGUGACCGGGCGCAGGGCCCUCAGGAAGCAGCUCCGAGCCGCCUGGCUCUCCGACCCCAGACGAGAGCUCGUCCCAGCGCCUCGUCCUGCCCUGCCUGCUGCAGCACUGUCAGUGCCGUCUGUCGGCAGUCCCAUAAUUUGGACCAAAUGCAGACCAACCCCUCAGGACGGCCAAAAGAGAGAUGGCCUCAACAGUUCAACGGGAUGGAGUCAAAAUGAUUGAAAAUCGAGGAUGCAAACGAAAACAAAAGUGAACCAGAGAGCACUCUAUCAUCCUGGAGAGAGACGCUCCCGGGGAAAAUCGUGUGCGAGAGGCUGCUGCCUGCCAGCUCUCUUCACCUUCACUCCGGAAACAAGCCGCUCUUCGUAAAGGCCAACUGCCUCGACUUCCGGGGGCUGUGAUGGGAAGGCCCAACACACUGGGAAGAGUGAGCAUCCCUGAGGUCAACCCCUCUUGGCUGCAGAGAGACACGCCCACCCUUCACAGCCAGCUGGCUGGCGGUCACCUCCAUCCAUAAAGAUGCUGGUCAUUCUCCAAAUGACCUCUCUACUUGGAAGCCCUCAGCUCAGCUCAGCUCAGCCUGGAGACCGUUGCUACGUGUGGGGAAGCUUUUUCCCCCGAGCGCUGGACAUAAUCUCAGGCAGUAAGAAGGCUGCACAUGCCGGCGGCUGUCCCCGCGGAGCUGGCUUUUGGAUGACUAAAAACAACAGGGUAUCGGGCCAGGCCUGUAACCUUCCAGAGAGAUGAAGAAGUUGCAGGGUUGGGAAAAGCAGGCCUUCUUCUGGAGUAAAAGGAAGGGAGACUGUGCCCGAGAUGGGUGUUCAAGGUUCUUCUCUGAACCAGCUAAGGCAGAGGAAGAGACACCAGGUGUGUCUGCACACAGAGGAAGGGCCACGUGAGAACUAGGAGAGAAGGUGACCAGCUGCAAGCGAAGAAACCAGCCCUCUUGGCACCUUGAUCUUGGACUUUCAACCCCCAGAACUGGAGAAAAUACAUUUCUGUUCUUUAAGCCACCCA